rnacentral:rRNA from 1 species
AGUGAACGCUGGCGGUAGGCCUAACACAUGCAAGUCGAACGGCAGCACAGUAAGAGCUUGCUCUUACGGGUGGCGAGUGGCGGACGGGUGAGGAAUACAUCGGAAUCUACUUUUUCGUGGGGGAUAACGUAGGGAAACUUACGCUAAUACCGCAUACGACCUACGGGUGAAAGCAGGGGAUCUUCGGACCUUGCGCGAUUGAAUGAGCCGAUGUCGGAUUAGCUAGUUGGCGGGGUAAAGGCCCACCAAGGCGACGAUCCGUAGCUGGUCUGAGAGGAUGAACAGCCACACUGGAACUGAGACACGGUCCAGACUCCUACGGGAGGCAGCAGGGGGGAAUAUUGGACAAUGGGCGGAAGCCUGAUCCAGCCAUACCGGGUGGGUGAAGAAGGCCUUCGGGUUGUAAAGCCCUUUUGUUGGGAAAGAAAAGCAGCAGGUUAAUACCCCGCUGUUCUGACGGUACCCAAAGAAUAAGCACCGGCUAACUUCGUG